GGAAAUAUAAGUUUUAGGGAGAAAGUAAAAGGAAAAAGGUUUUGGGGGUUUGUGGGUAAAUAAAUUUUUUAGGGGGAAGUAAAAGUUUUGGGGGAAAAUAAAAGGAAAAGAAUUUGGGUGUUUGGGGAAGGUAAAAGUUUUGGGUAGAAAGUAAAAGGAAAAAAGUUUUGAGGGUUUGGGGAGAAGUAAAUUUUUUGAGAGGGAAGCAAAAGUUUUGUGGAGAAAAUAAAAGGAAAAAGGUUUUAAAGGUUGGGGGGAAGUAAAUUUUUUUUUGGGGGGGGAAUAAAAGGGUUUGAGGAGAGGAGAGGGAAAUAAAAUGGUUUGGCAUUUAGUUUAUUCGAAUUCGAAAAUUUAAUUCGAUUCAAACUCAAAAUUUGAAAAAAAAAUCGAUUUGAUUCGAUUGACUCGAUUAAUUUGAUUCAAAUAAUUUAAACUUUUUUUUAUUUUUUUGAGUCGAAUCAAAUUUUGUUCACACCUAAAUAG
rnacentral:lncRNA from 1 species